UCGGAUUACUGGGCGUAAAGCGCGCGUAGGUGGUUUGUUAAGUUGGAUGUGAAAGCCCUGGGCUCAACCUAGGAACUGCAUCCAAAACUAACUCACUAGAGUACGAUAGAGGGAGGUAGAAUUCAUAGUGUAGCGGUGGAAUGCGUAGAUAUUAUGAAGAAUACCAGUGGCGAAGGCGGCCUCCUGGAUCUGUACUGACACUGAGGUGCGAAAGCGUGGGUAGCGGACAGGAUUAGAUACCCUGGUAGUCCACGCCGUAAACGAUGACAACUAGCUGUUGGAAGACAACGUCUUUCAGUGGCGCAGCUAACGUUUUAAGUUGUCCGCCUGGGGAGUACGGCCGCAAGACUAAAACUCAAAUGAAUUGACGGGGACCCGCACAAGCGGUGGAGCAUGUGGUUUAAUUCGAUGCAACGCGAAAAACCUUACCUACUCUUGACAUACUUGGGAGCUCGUGUAAUGAGAGUGUGCCUUUUGGAACCAAGAUACAGGUGCUGCAUGGCUGUCGUCAGCUCGUGUCGUGAGGUGUUCCGUUAAGUCGGAUAACGAGCGCAACCCUUACCCUUAUUUGCCAGCGAUUCGGUCGGGAACUAUAAGGGGACUGCCGGUGAUAAACCGGAGGAAGGUGAGGACGACGUCAAGUCAUCAUGGCCCUUACGAGUAGGGCUACACACGUGCUACAAUGGGGAAUACAGACGGACGCUAAGCCGCGAGGUGGUGCUAAUCCUAGAAAGUUUCUCGUAGUCCGGA
rnacentral:rRNA from 1 species